GACGAACGCUGGCGGCGUGCCUAAUACAUGCCAGUUGAGCGCUGAAGGUUGGUACUUGUACCAACUGGAUGAGCAGCGAACGGGUGAGUAACGCGUGGGGAAUCUGCCUUUGAGCGGGGGACAACAUUUGGAAACGAAUGCUAAUACCGCAUAAAAACUUUAAACACAAGUUUUAAGUUUGAAAGAUGCAAUUGCAUCACUCAAAGAUGAUCCCGCGUUGUAUUAGCUAGUUGGUGAGGUAAAGGCUCACCAAGGCGAUGAUACAUAGCCGACCUGAGAGGGUGAUCGGCCACAUUGGGACUGAGACACGGCCCAAACUCCUACGGGAGGCAGCAGUAGGGAAUCUUCGGCAAUGGACGAAAGUCUGACCGAGCAACGCCGCGGGAGUGAAGAAGGGUUUCGGAUCGUAAAACUCGGUUGGUAGAGAAGAACGUUGGUGAGAGUGGAAAGCUCAUCAAGUGACGGUAACUACCCAGAAAGGGACGGCUAACUACGUG
rnacentral:rRNA from 1 species